UACGAAGGGGGCUAGCGUUGCUCGGAAUCACUGGGCGUAAAGCGCACGUAGGCGGCUUUUUAAGCCAGGGGUGAAAUCCUGGAGCUCAACUCCAGAACUGCCUUUGAUACUGGCGAUCUUGAGUCCGGGAGAGGUGAGUGGAACUCCGAGUGUAGAGGUGAAAUUCGUAGAUAUUCGGAAGAACACCAGUGGCGAAGGCGGCUCACUGGCCCGGUACUGACGCUGAUGUGCGAAAGCGUGGGGAGCAAACAGG
rnacentral:rRNA from 1 species